UUUACAAGCAAAUACUAGUUUGUCUUUUUACUUACAAAUGGCAUGUUUAAUUCAGUACAUUACUUGCAGUUUCUUUGUCAUGUAUUGUUCUAAAAUACAUAUGUAAAUUUAAAUACAAUCUCCUAAGUAAUAUUCACUUAUUGUUUGCCAUCUAAUCAAAUCACACCAAAAAAUGAACAACUCAAGUAAAAUAUACUCAGUACAGCAAGAUAAUUGAUGCGCAUGCGUCUUUGACUUCGAGUCUGAAGUGGCGCGCACAGAGGAAAGGAAUGGAGACUUCACGACGGAAAAUUUGAAUUUUACCACGAUAUUGCACCCACUAUUCAAGCAAAUGCAAGAUUAAAAAUGAAUUCAGAAGAAUCACCACAAUUUCCUUGGAGCGUACAUUCUUGUAAAAACUGGACUUCUAUACCCCAAAACUCCUGACUUUGUUUGAGAUGAGGGGUGGGGUUGCUGGCAUAAGAAUUAAACAUUCGCUGGAUUCACUCAGCCAGCAAGAAGAAAGCCUUGAAGAUAGGUGAGACGUUGUGAUUCGCUGCCUCCUAUCUUUCCUGGGAGAAUCAGCUGAGGAGCUCACUGAAGACCACCAGGAUAUCAGCAGAGAUAUCACCUUCUCCAGUCAUGUCAUGAAAAUCAUCGUACUGAGCAGAUCUGUGGAAGAAGAUGCCAGUAUGUCUGAUGUCAUCAUUGUAAUUGAGGGAACUGAGGUGCUGCUGGGAUGUAAGAAUCUCGCACAUGCAUGUCUUUCACUCACAGGCUGCAUUAACUUUCUAAACUUAAGCUUUCCCCCAAAGCUGAUAAACACAUUUGAAGUGUUUCAGAACAUUUUUCUUGGGCUAGAUGCUUUUCAAUUGUCUCCAAAGGUUAAAGGCAGAGUCCACGAUGUUUGAAAGCCAAUGUUGAUAUUUGAAAUCACCCAAACAAACACGCCCCUACCCCAAUAGAAUCUGGACCUUCUGUUGAUAGACCCGCCCCACACAUACGCAACCCGGCAUUUGAUUUGAUUGGCUAUAAGUGUGUUUUGGUAGUCGUCCCGUCUCCUUUUCCAACGCGUUUUUCAAACAUCGUGGACUCCGCCUUUAACUGUGCAUAGAAAGCUUCUAAUGUAAUCUGCUAGUUGGGCACUACUUGCACUUAUUGUACUGUUUUUAUUGUUGUUGUUGUUGUUUGUUUUGUUUUGUUUUUUUGCAAGAAAGGUUAUUCACAAAACAACUUCAACUACAGUACUAUUUAACAUAGCCAUUCUUAUACAUUUUAAGUAAUGCUAUUCUGCUAGAGACCGUAAAGUUUUAUUAUUUUAUUUGAUGUCUUUGUUCCCUUAAUUUAAUGUAAUUGAAAUUAAAAUAAGCUAAUGAAAGGCAGCUACUAGUUUGACUAUUUGCACUUUUGUUUUUGAUAUCUGCAACUGAGAUUGUUGUAAUGUUUAUGUUUAAAUGUUUAUGCAUUUUAAUGAACUGUAUUUCAUGUUCCCAUCUUUAAGGAAUCUUAUAGAAAUAAAAGUAUUCAAGUAAAA